ACGAUCGUAUCAAAGAACUCGG
rnacentral:misc_RNA from 1 species